UACCAGCUCUCCGAGCGGUAGGGAUGAUUAUUGGGCUUAAAGCGUCCGUAGCCGGCUUAGCAAGUUUCCUGUUAAACUCAGCGACCUAAUCGUUGAAUCGCGGGAAAUACUACUAGGCUAGGAGGCGGGAGAGGUCGACGGUACUUCCGGGGUAGGGGUGAAAUCCUAUAAUCCCGGGAGGACCACCAGUGGCGAAGGCUGUCGACUAGAACGCGCUCGACGGUGAGGGACGAAAGCUGGGGGAGCGAACCGGAUUAGAUACCCGGGUAGUCCCAGCUGUAAACGAUGCGGGCUAGGUGUUGGGGUGGCUACGAGCCACUUCAGUGCCGCAGGGAAGCCAUUAAGCCCGCCGCCUGGGGAGUACGGCCGCAAGGCUGAAACUUAAAGGAAUUGGCGGGGGAGCACCACAAGGGGUGAAGCUUGCGGUUU
rnacentral:rRNA from 1 species